rnacentral:lncRNA from 1 species
AAUAAAUCCUUACUUGUGGCGAAGGAAUACCGUAGUUACAUAAGAUAAAUUUCACCAUCAAGAUCAUAACAAACCAAACUUCUUGUACUCUAAAAUAACAUUGAAAGAUUUAAAUUCAAACCGGGAGGAGAAAAAUCACGAAUAUUGGGGAUGCCCAGUUUAUCCAUACGCACAGCUCCUUUAACUGAUGAUGGGAUUGUGAUAGAGUCCAUCCAGAUUUGUGAAUCACAAGACACUCCCAGUUUCGAUAGGAUAUCAGCUACCGGAUUGCCCUCGGUUCCUAUAUAUAUAUUUGAUGUUAUAAAUAGAUAUGUUUAUAAGAUUCUGGAAUUUGGCUUUGUUUGCUUUUUAAAUAAAUUGCCUGUGAAGGGUUGAUUUCAUGACGUGCAGAUUCCAUUGGUUUAAGUCUUUACGAUGAUUAGGGAUAAAUUUUAAAUGAAUAACCCCAAAGCUUUAAUGCUUCUAAAUUGCUUUUACCUUUCCCCCCUUUUCCUAUCCUUAGGGGCCAGGGAGGAGGCACACCCUGGUAAGAAUGUUAAAACCUACUUUUAUAACUUUUAAAAAAUUAUUUUCUAAAUGGGGGUUUUCCCUCUUAUUUGCCCCUUACGGGUACCUGGAUUGAAACAAUUGUUCAAUAUGCUCCUUCAUAAUCAUAGUAUGUUCAAAGAAGAAAAUAUGAGGAGCUUCACAUGGAUCAUUGGAGCGCAACCUUGUAUUGAACAUAUAAUAUGGAUUUUAAUUAAGACUUAUAUUUGCAAAUGGAAUUAUUAUUGUACAAGGAUUUGAGCAUAUUUAUUAUUGUAAAUAGAG